rnacentral:rRNA from 1 species
GAUGAACGCUGGCGGCGUGCCUAAUACAUGCAAGUCGAGCGAACAGAUGAGGAGCUUGCUCCUCUGACGUUAGCGGCGGACGGGUGAGUAACACGUGGAGAACCUACCUAUAAGACGGGGAUAACUUCGGGAAACCGGAGCUAAUACCGGAUAAUAUAUUGAACCGCAUGGUUCAAUAGUGAAAGACGGUUUUGCUGUCACUUAUAGAUGGAUCCGCGCCUCAUUAGCUAGUUGGUAAGGUAACGGCUUACCAAGGCAACGAUGCGUAGCCGACCUGAGAGGUUGAUCGGCCACACUGGAACUGAGACACGGUCCAGACUCCUCCGGGAGGCAGCAGUAGGGAAUCUUCCGCAAUGGGCGAAAGCCUGACGGAGCAACGCGGCGUGAGUGAUGAAGGUCUUCGGAUCUUAAAACUCUGUUAUUAGGGAAGAACAAAUGUGUAAGUAACUAUGCACGUCUUGACGGUACCUAAUCAGAAAGCCACGGCUAACUACGUG